AUGAGCCAUUUCUAGUCAGUCUAGACUGGAGGGGGAGUGAAUAGAACCCCCUAGACGUGCGAACCAAAGUAUGGCAGAGAUGUGAGGAGCUUAAAAUUCAGGCCAUCCAUAUUUCUCACCUUACAGAGGAGAGAACCAGAGCCCUCACCAGAUCACCGGCAUCACCAGAUCACCUGGUCUUAGCUUCUAGGCAGCAGCCCCUCUGGUGGCUGAAGGGGCUAUUUGUGGGAGUGAGCCUUAAUGCAUGUGCCCAUUGGGAGGGUGCCUGCCUUCCACUCUACCCCACCCACCUCCAGAGAACAGGAAAUGUCUGCAUUUUUCUUCCCUUCUGUUUCACAAAGGAAGUAUCUACCUAAAGGAGUGGUGAGACUCUGUAUAGGGAGCUACUCAUUUGGGCCACACAGUGAGGAUUAAGAAGCUCCCAUUCCCAUUUUCCCUUCACUGUCCCAAACCAUGAUCAGGAAGUCAGACUUGCUCUGGCCCUGGUCUUCUCUGGUGAGGAGCAUCAUAAUUUAAUGUUCAUUAUGUGUUAGGGAAAACCUAGAAAUCAUGCCCUCCCAUUCUGCUCGCCACAGUUCUAUCAUCUCCCAAACUCUGGGUAUUUCAGAGAAAUAGAUGAGGCCUGCUGUAUCCCCUCACACCCAGGGUAUUCUGAUGUCAGCCUCUGUGUGAAUGAAUGGGGGGCGGGGCACAUGUGGGCAGAGAGGGAGGAGAUGAAGAAGGAUGCUUUAUCACCUCAAGUAAGCUUCAUGCCCAGCAUGGAGCCCAAUGCAGGGCUCAAACUCACAAUCGUGAGAUCAAGACCUGACUCCAGAUCAAGAAUCAGAGGCUCAACCUACUGAACCACCCAGACACGCCCAGAAAAGCUGAAUCUUGAACAGAGCCUUGAAGAAAGUGCACCCAGCAGCUAUCCUCAAGGCCUUGCAGAAAGCACAGUCCCACUUUGGGGCCCCCUCACUGCUUCUGACACAUUCAGAGCCGUGUGAGAUCACACAAAGCCAUCAGGAAUACCUGCAGUUCCCAACCUGAAGAACUGAAAACAUUCCCCAGCAUGCUGCCAGCGUGAAGAAGCUCUGUAAUUACAGACAUGCAGGGGUUUGUGUUCCUGACCUCACUCAUCGAUGAAACGCUUCCGUCCCCUUCACUUCCCACGGUGUCUUUAUCAAGGAAGCAGGAAGCUGGGCCCAUCAGAAAACCCAGGAUCCUGUGGAAAAGCUGCAUUAUAAUCGAUAGCCUCGUAAAUAAAUAAAUAGUCAACGCAUCCUGUCUCCAGCUCAGAGCUUCUUCAGGAAAAUCGAACCUCGACCCACUUCUGCUCGCUCAUUCUGGAUUUCUAUGGAGGCCUCCAGAGGGAGGGAACACUUACAGGUCAUCUUGGGCAUCCCCCUGCCUCUGGGCCGGCCUGCCAUCAGUCAUGACCUGAAGGAAAUGAUUAGGAGGGCUGAGGGUAACUAGAGGAAGCUGAGAAUUCCUCUGCUCUGCUCUGCUCUGCUCUGCCUCGGCAGGAAGAGGGGACAGGAGGAGGGGAAAUGGGAAGGCCAGUGGCUCUCAUUCCAAAGGAGGAAAAGUUCCAGCUCCUCAAAUAAGCCAGCUCCAGAACUCGCCAGCUCCCACCCAGUCCACUCCAGUUUGGAAACUCCAUGGCUGCUUCCACAGCAGGAACAAAGAUGGACCUCUAUCCUGCCGGUGAGGCCUGCUUCCUGGGGCAGAAGGUACCUACUGUUGCCUCUGGCAGGACCCAGACCCAGGAGCCUCCCAGAGGCCUCCCUCUGCACCACUGCCCCGGGCGGGCCUCGCCUAGAGCCUCCCACCUUCCCGCACAGUCUCCCCUCCUCAUGCAAGAUGCCGGCUGCUGAGACGGGAGGGAUAAACAAACUGUGGCUCUGGCCCAGCCCUCUGCCGGCUGGCUGCUCCCCGCCCCCCUCAAUCCGCAGUGCACAGUCGCUCUGUUCUCCUGCCAACUUGGCAGCUCAUCUCUGCUGUUACUAUCAACACCUCCCAGGGAAGAGGGAGAGGAGUGAGUUCUGAUCGCCUGGCACACCGAGCAGCAAAUUCGUGUCAGAGCCAGCCCCAGAAUGUCUCCCAAGCUCCCAAGGCUCCUGGUGGGGAAGGAAAGGUGGGCCUGAGCAGAGAGGCCCCCACUGCAAGCCAGGCUCCAGCAGAGUGCCUGGGCCUGGCCAAAGCUGCAGCCCCCAGGAGCAGGCAGCUCUGAGAGAAGGGACCGCCAGGCCGGGCAGGUGCACAGGAAGGGGUUCUGUCUCACCCUGGCACUUGCCACAGUCCAAGGCCAUGAAGCCCUGGAGUGCGUGGACUGUACCUCCUUUCUUCCAUCUUUCUUGGACUCAUGCAGAGCUCUUGCCCUCCUUGUCAGAUUGGAUUGGGAGGCCCAAAGGGGCCACAUUUUACCCCCAAAUGGAAACUUCUCGCAGACAGAAACCAUAUUUCCUUUUCCCAACCCUCUUCCCCAGGCUCUUACACCCUGCCUAGUUGGCUCCAUAAAGCAGCUGAUGCCCUUCUCAGCUCCUGCUGGACUCCUGGGGCCCAGUUAGGAAGAAGAAAGAACCCAUAUUUCCAGGGGCCCAGUGCUCCAC